rnacentral:rRNA from 1 species
GAUGAACGCUGGCGGCGUGCCUAAUACAUGCAAGUCGAGCGAACAGAUGAGGAGCUUGCUCCUCUGACGUUAGCGGCGGACGGGUGAGUAACACGUGGAUAACCUACCUAUAAGACUGGGAUAACUUCGGGAAACCGGAGCUAAUACCGGAUAAUAUAUUGAACCGCAUGGUUCAAUAGUGAAAGACGGUUUUGCUGUCACUUAUAGAUGGAUCCGCGCCGCAUUAGCUAGUUGGUAAGGUAACGGCUUACCAAGGCAACGAUGCGUAGCCGACCCGAGAGGGUGAUCGGCCACACUGGAACUGAGACACGGUCCAGACUCCUACGGGAGGCAGCAAUAGGGAAUCUUCCGCAAUGGGCGAAAGCCUGACGGAGCAACGCCGCGUGAGUGAUGAAGGUCUUCGGAUCGUAAAACUCUGUUAUUAGGGAAGAACAAAUGUGUAAGUAACUAUGCACGUCUUGACGGUACCUAAUCAGAAAGCCACGGCUAACUACGUG